CAGGACUUGGCAUUCACAGAGAGUCAGAGGCCUAGCUGGGGCUGAAGAUUUGGGGGCCCUGGGCACGUUGGGGCUCUCCAGAGGUCCUGAGACUCCCCGACACCAGCCCCACCAGUGCCCACCUGGGGCUCCCAGGGUCCAGGGGUGCCCCGUCCUUCCGCCAGCUCACAAGAGAGGAAGAACUGCAGAAGACGAGGUAGCUGCCUAGCAGCCCCGAGGAAGCUACAGUGCCCUCCUCUACCACCCGGCUCCCAGCCCCAUCCCAGCUGCCCCAUCCAGCACCUGCGCGGCCUCCACACGGAACACGAGGCCCCCUCUGCUGCCGCCCUCCGGCCCGAGCAGGGCCUGCCCGUCCUUAUGCCAGGUGAUGUGGGGGGGGGGGGAUGCCCCGGGCGUCGCACAGCAGCUCCAUGGGGGCGCCGGCCGUCAGCGUCAGCUCUGCAGGCUGGCCCGAGUCCUGGAUGUGGGGCGGGUCUGCAGGGAGGCUUAGUUAGGUGCAGCCCCAGAGCCGGGGCUGGGGCUCCUGUCCCCUCAUCACCCUUUACCCAGACAGACACACACA
ensembl:lncRNA